UAUCAAAAGCUAUGUACAAUUUUACUGCCUCUGACAAGCAGUGAAAAGAAGUUGUUUUUCUCACUGCUUACCUCCUUGGUAAGUUGGUGAUGCCUCACAAAGAAGAUAUUACCCCCCACUUGAGUAAAGUGUCAGAUAUUUUCCAUCAUUUCAGUAGGAAUGGCAGCCAGAUCCAUCACUGCACAGUGAGCCAUGCCAGAGGGAAGGAUGUCCAGGAGUGGACCACAAAUUGCCUCCCAGGACUUUGGAUCAUUGUUCAUUAAUUGAGUGCUGACAGUGUGUUUGCCUCGCUGUUAAGUGAGAGAGAAGAAACAGACUCAAUUUUCGGCAUUCAAUGUCUGAGUCAGUCAGAUAGUACAUUGGGUAGAUUGAAAUACUCUGAUGGCUACAUCUCAGACAAUAAUUUUGUGCCAGAAUUAACUGGGAAUCAGCUGAGGCAGUCCUCAUAUAAAGCUGUAAGCUUGUUGAUGUGUACCAAGGCUGGGUUUGAUGUUGGAAUUGGUCUUUGGAGGUGAGAAAAGAGAAACAAUUUAUUUGUCUGGAAAUUUUCUUAGUCAUAGUCUCUAUGAAAAGAAGAGCGACUUUUUUUGACAUCAAGUUCAAGUCACAUUAGCAUUCUAUGGAGCAACAGUUGCAAGCCGACUGCUUUUUUUGGGUGUGAUAUUUGGACACUCUUCAGCCAAUGCCUUGAACAUACUUUUACACCCUCUUAUUGUUGUUGUUGUUACUGAAAAAUGAGAAAUCAGGAGGUCUCAGUGACCCAAAAACCAAGAGUUGAGGCAUAGUCAAGCUGACGAUGUUGAAAUGUCACUUCAACAGUCACAAAGAUGGUAAUGAUUUCUACUCUUAUGUUUUAUAGUUUAAAAGUACUUCUUGUAAAUAAACUGUGACACAUCCGGACAAUGGAAUACCAUUCAGUGCUAAAAUGAAAUGAGCUAUGAAACUAUGAAAAGAGUUGGAGAAACAUUAAAACAAGUUAGUAGGUGAAAUAAACCAAUCUGAAAAGGCUACCUACUGUGUGAUUUCCACUAUAUGACAUUCUGGAAAAGACAAAACUGAAGAGGAAAUAAAAAGAUUAGUGGUUUCCCAGCGUUAGGGACUAGGAAUAGAUGAAUAAGUGGAGCACAGAAUUUUUAUGUCAGUGAAACUAUUCUGUAUGAUACUAUAAUGGUGUGUACACAUCAGUAUUUACAUUUAUCAAAACCCAUAGAAUGUACAACCCAAGAGCAAACCUGAAGCUAAACUAUAGACUUUAUCUCCAUACCCUACAGUCUUUCUAUUACCUUUCACAGCUUUUUGUGAAUGAGCCUUAGAGGGCACAACUAAGUAUGAAAGUUACGAGACAAGAUUAGAAUUAAAUGGACAAAGCAUUCCAAAUUUAAAAAGCACAGAAAAAAUGACAUUAAUGUAUGAGAGAUAUACCUAAACAAAAAGGAAUCACUGUAAACUGUGUAAAUACCUAUAAAAUAGUGUUUUUAAAUAUGAAAUAUUGAAAAGUGAAAAAAAUUGCUCUAGCAUAUGAU